rnacentral:tRNA from 1 species
GUGCCUUUGGCUCAGUUGGUAGAGCAACUGACUCUUAAUCAGUGGGUCCAGGGUUCGAGUCCCUGAAGGCGCACCA